UGGGGAAUUUUGGACAAUGGGCGCAAGCCUGAUCCAGCCAUGCCGCGUGCGGGAAGAAGGCCUUCGGGUUGUAAACCGCUUUUGUCAGGGAAGAAAUCUUCUGAGUUAAUACCUCGGGAGGAUGACGGUACCUGAAGAAUAAGCACCGGCUAACUACGUGCCAGCAGCCGCGGUAAUACGUAGGGUGCAAGCGUUAAUCGGAAUUACUGGGCGUAAAGCGUGCGCAGGCGGCUUUGUAAGACAGAGGUGAAAUCCCCGGGCUCAACCUGGGAACUGCCUUUGUGACUGCAAGGCUUGAGUGCGGCAGAGGGGGAUGGAAUUCCGCGUGUAGCAGUGAAAUGCGUAGAUAUGCGGAGGAACACCGAUGGCGAAGGCAAUCCCCUGGGCCUGCACUGACGCUCAUGCACGAAAGCGUGGGGAGCAAACAGGAUUAGAUACCCUGGUAGUCCACGCCCUAAACGAUGUCAACUGGUUGUUGGGAAGGUUCCUUCUCAGUAACGUAGCUAACGCGUGAAGUUGACCGCCUGGGGAGUACGGCCGCAAGGUUGAAACUUAAAUGAAUUGACGGGG
rnacentral:rRNA from 1 species